rnacentral:sRNA from 1 species
GUUGCUGUGGCAGCGCAGGACGCGGCUAGAGCUGGGGCUGCCGCGCCCUCCACCUCCUUCUCCAAAGGCCUCCCCGGACCCCUGGCUCGGGCCCAGCCUGCGACUCCGCCAUGCCCUGGAGGAGGCGCAGGAACCGGGUGAUUCUAAGUAUGACUUGCUAUGUAAAGAAGAAUUUAUUGAACUCAAAGACAUAUUCUCUGUGAAACUGAAACGGCGUUGUUCUGUUAAACAGCAGAGAAGUGGUACUUUAUUAGGUAUCACACUCUUCAUCUGCUUGAAAAAGGAACAAAAUAAACUAAAGAAUUCUACACUUGAUCUUAUUAAUUUAAGUGAAGACCACUGUGACAUAUGGUUUAGACAGUUCAAGAAAAUAUUGGCAGGCUUUCCAAACAGACCGAAGUCAUUAAAAAUACUCCUUAACCCCCAAAGUCACAAAAAAGAAGCUACCCAGGUUUAUUAUGAGAAGGUUGAACCUCUGUUGAAGCUUGCAGGAAUAAAAACUGAUGUAACAAUAAUGGAAUAUGAAGGGCACGCUCUGUCACUGCUUAAGGAAUGUGAACUCCAGGGAUUUG